rnacentral:rRNA from 1 species
AGCGGGCGAGGUUGCUUCGGUAACUGAGCUAGCGGCGGACGGGUGAGUAAUGCUUAGGAAUCUGCCUAUUAGUGGGGGACAACAUUCCGAAAGGAAUGCUAAUACCGCAUACGCCCUACGGGGGAAAGCAGGGGAUCUUCGGACCUUGCGCUAAUAGAUGAGCCUAAGUCAGAUUAGCUAGUUGGUGGGGUAAAGGCCUACCAAGGCGACGAUCUGUAGCGGGUCUGAGAGGAUGAUCCGCCACACUGGGACUGAGACACGGCCCAGACUCCUACGGGAGGCAGCAGUGGGGAAUAUUGGACAAUGGGCGCAAGCCUGAUCCAGCCAUGCCGCGUGUGUGAAGAAGGCCUUUUGGUUGUAAAGCACUUUAAGCGAGGAGGAGGCUACUUGGAUUAAUACUCUAGGAUAGUGGACGUUACUCGCAGAAUAAGCACCGGCUAACUCUGUGCCAGCAGCCGCGGUAAUACAGAGGGUGCGAGCGUUAAUCGGAUUUACUGGGCGUAAAGCGUGCGUAGGCGGCUUCUUAAGUCGGAUGUGAAAUCCCUGAGCUUAACUUAGGAAUUGCAUUCGAUACUGGGAAGCUAGAGUAUGGGAGAGGAUGGUAGAAUUCCAGGUGUAGCGGUGAAAUGCGUAGAGAUCUGGAGGAAUACCGAUGGCGAAGGCAGCCAUCUGGCCUAAUACUGACGCUGAGGUACGAAAGCAUGGGGAGCAAACAGGAUUAGAUACCCUGGUAGUCCAAGCCGUAAACGAUG